UCUCAGAGAGCCUCCCGCUGCUUCUCAGCACCUCCCCUACUUGCGCUUCCCCAAUAGGCCAUCUCACCACACGUGGACUCCAGAGGGAGGUCUUGAGAACCGAAGUUGCAAUCUGCCCUGUGGGGAUUGCUCUGUUGGGGGGGGGAAGUUUUGCAAAAUUUUCCAGAAAUGUCCUCACCAUGGCGGAGUCGCACUCAGAACUCUAUCUAAAAGAACCUAUCUCCUCCACGAGAUCCGUCUGCCACUGUCUCAGGAGUCCCGGGUUUAAAGGUUCUCUCUUUGUAGCCCAGGCUACCCUUCAACUCAAGACCCGAUGGCUCAGGCUCCCUUAUCCCAAGAUCUGCACUACUAUGCCCCCACCCUGAAGCUUAUUCUUAUACCAUCUACAACCCACUUGUUGACCAAUUCCUGAGGAUAAUAUACACAUGGAGAAAACAAAUGAUAAGCUGGGAAAGCCAUGGGACCCACGGCUGUAUGAAUUAGGCUCCUCCCCGGAUUUUGUAAUGGACAAUGGUAAAGAGUAAUCGUAAAAGUUGUAGUCCAUCAUGAAAGGAACUCAAGGAGGAAUCUCGAAGCAGGAAUCAACAGAGGUGUAGCAGAAUAAUACAAACCCAG